CACGUAGGGGGCAAGCGUUGUCCGGAUUUAUUGGGCGUAAAGAGCUCGUAGGCGGUUUCGUAAGCCGGAUGUGAAAACUCCAGGCUCAACUUGGAGACGCCAUUCGAUACUGCGAUGACUUGAGUCCGGUAGGGGAGUGUGGAAUUCCUGGUGUAGCGGUGAAAUGCGCAGAUAUUAGGAGGAACACCGGCGGCGAAGGCGGCACUCUGGGCCGGUACUGACGCUGAGGAGCGAAAGCGUGGGUAGCAAACAGG
rnacentral:rRNA from 1 species